rnacentral:rRNA from 1 species
GUUUGAUCAUGGCUCAGAUUGAACGCUGNCGGCAGGCCUAACACAUGCAAGUCGAACGGUAACAGGAAGCAGCUUGCUGCUUUGCUGACGAGUGGCGGACGGGUGAGUAAUGUCUGGGAAACUGCCCGAUGGAGGGGGAUAACUACUGGAAACGGUAGCUAAUACCGCAUAAUGUCGCAAGACCAAAGAGGGGGACCUUCGGGCCUCUUGCCAUCGGGAUGUGCCCAGAUGGGAUUAGCUUGUUGGUGAGGUAANGGCUCACCAAGGCGACGAUCCCUAGCUGGUCUGAGAGGAUGACCAGCCACACUGGAACUGAGACACGGUCCAGACUCCUACGGGAGGCAGCAGUGGGGAAUAUUGCACAAUGGGCGCAAGCCUGAUGCAGCCAUGCCGCGUGUAUGAAGAAGGCCUUCGGGUUGUAAAGUACUUUCAGCGGGGAGGAAGGGGUUAAGGUUAAUAACCUAGCCAUGACGUACCCGCAGAAGAAGCACCGGCUAACUNCCGUACCAGCAGCCGCGGUAAUACGGAGGGUGCAAGCGUUAAUCGGAAUUACUAGGCGUAAAGCGCACGCAGGCGGUCUGUCAAGUCGGAUGUGAAAUNCCCCGGGCUCAACCUGGGAACUGCAUUCGAAACUGGCAGGCUUGAGUCUCGUAGAGGGGGGUAGAAUUCCAGGUGUAGCGGUGAAAUGCGUAGAGAUCUGGAGGAAUACCGGUGGCGAAGGCGGCCCCCUGGACGAAGACUGACGCUCAGGUGCGAAAGCGUGGGGAGCAAACAGGANNAGAUACCCUGGUAGUCCACGCCGUAAACGAUGUCUAUUUGGAGGNGUGCCCUUGAGGUGUGCUUCCAAAGCUACNGANNAGCCGCC